UACGAUGAAGAGUUUGAUCCUGGCUCAGGAUGAACGCUAGCGGCAGGCUUAACACAUGCAAGUCGAGGGGUAUUAGUUUUCGGACUAAGAGACCGGCGCACGGGUGCGUAACGCGUAUGCAAUCUACCUUUUACAGAGGGAUAGCCCAGAGAAAUUUGGAUUAAUACCUCAUAGUAUUAUGAAAUGGCAUCAUUUUAUAAUUAAAGUCACAACGGUAAAAGAUGAGCAUGCGUCCCAUUAGCUAGUUGGUAAGGUAACGGCUUACCAAGGCUACGAUGGGUAGGGGUCCUGAGAGGGAGAUCCCCCACACUGGUACUGAGACACGGACCAGACUCCUACGGGAGGCAGCAGUGAGGAAUAUUGGACAAUGGGCGCAAGCCUGAUCCAGCCAUGCCGCGUGCAGGAUGACGGUCCUAUGGAUUGUAAACUGCUUUUGUACAGGAAGAAACACUCCGACGUGUCGGAGCUUGACGGUACUGUAAGAAUAAGGAUCGGCUAACUCCGUGCCAGCAGCCGCGGUAAUACGGAGGAUCCAAGCGUUAUCCGGAAUCAUUGGGUUUAAAGGGUCCGUAGGCGGUUUA
rnacentral:rRNA from 1 species